rnacentral:rRNA from 1 species
AGUGAACGCUGGCGGUAGGCCUAACACAUGCAAGUCGAACGGCAGCACAGGAGAGCUUGCUCUCCGGGUGGCGAGUGGCGGACGGGUGAGGAAUACAUCGGAAUCUACUCUGUCGUGGGGGAUAACGUAGGGAAACUUACGCUAAUACCGCAUACGACCUACGGGUGAAAGCAGGGGACCUUCGGGCCUUGCGCGAUUGAAUGAGCCGAUGUCGGAUUAGCUAGUUGGCGGGGUAAAGGCCCACCAAGGCGACGAUCCGUAGCUGGUCUGAGAAGAUGAUCAGCCCAAAUUGAACUGGGGCACGGGCCCGGCUCCCACGGGGGGCAACAGUGGGGAAUAUUUGACAAUGGGCGCAAGCCUGAUCCAGCCAUACCGCGUGGGUGAAGAAGGCCUUCGGGUUGUAAAGCCCUUUUGUUGGGAAAGAAAUCCAGCUGGCUAAUACCCGGUUGGGAUGACGGUACCCAAAGAAUAAGCACCGGCUAACUUCGUGCCAGCCGCCGCGGUAA